UACGGAGGGUGCUAACGUUAUCCGGAAUCACUGGGCGUAAAGCGCAUGUAGGUGGCUUGGUAAGUGGGCGAUUAAAGACCGAUGCCUAACAUCGGGACUGUUGCCUAUACUGCUUGGCUUGAGGAAGACAGGGGCACGUGGAACUUUUAGGUGUAGGGGUGAAAUCCGUAGAUAUCUAAAGGAACACCAAUGGCGAAGGCAACGUGCUGGGUCUUUUCUGACGCUGAGGCGCGAAAGCGUGGGGAGCAAACAGGG
rnacentral:rRNA from 1 species